CCUACGGGGGGCAGCAGUGGGGAAUAUUGCACAAUGGGCGCAAGCCUGAUGCAGCCAUGCCGCGUGUGUGAAGAAGGCCUUCGGGUUGUAAAGCACUUUCAGCGGGGAGGAAGGCGGUGAGGUUAAUAACCUCAUCGAUUGACGUUACCCGCAGAAGAAGCACCGGCUAACUCCGUGCCAGCAGCCGCGGUAAUACGGAGGGUGCAAGCGUUAAUCGGAAUUACUGGGCGUAAAGCGCACGCAGGCGGUCUGUCAAGUCGGAUGUGAAAUCCCCGGGCUCAACCUGGGAACUGCAUUCGAAACUGGCAGGCUAGAGUCUUGUGGAGGGGGGUAGAAUUCCAGGUGUAGCGGUGAAAUGCGUAGAGAUCUGGAGGAAUACCGGUGGCGAAGGCGGCCCCCUGGACAAAGACUGACGCUCAGGUGCGAAAGCGUGGGGAGCAAACAGGAUUAGAUACCCGAGUAGUC
rnacentral:rRNA from 1 species